rnacentral:rRNA from 1 species
UACGAAGGGGGCUAGCGUUGUUCGGAAUUACUGGGCGUAAAGCGCACGUAGGCGGAUAUUUAAGUCAGGGGUGAAAUCCCGGGGCUCAACCCCGGAACUGCCUUUGAUACUGGGUGUCUUGAGUUCGGAAGAGGUGAGUGGAAUUGCGAGUGUAGAGGUGAAAUUCGUAGAUAUUCGCAAGAACACCAGUGGCGAAGGCGGCUCACUGGCCCGGUACUGACGCUGAGGUGCGAAAGCGUGGGGAGCAAACAGG